rnacentral:rRNA from 1 species
UACGUAGGAGGCGAGCGUUGUCCGGAAUUACUGGGCGUAAAGAGCGCGUAGGCGGCGCGGUACGACCGCUGUGAAAGCCCCCAGCUCAACUGGGGAGGGUCAGCGGUAACGGCCGUGCUUUGAGUGCAGGAGAGGGAAGUGGAACUCCGGGAGUAGCGGUGAAAUGCGUAGAGACCCGGAGGAACACCAGUGGCGAAGGCGGCUUCCUGGUCUGCGACUGACGCUGUGGCGCGAAAGCUAGGGAGCAACGGG